UAGGGAAUCUUCGGCAAUGGACGGAAGUCUGACCGAGCAACGCCGCGCGAGUGAAGAAGGUUUUCGGAUCGUAAAGCUCUGUUGUCAGAGAAGAACGUUGGUAGGAGUGGAAAAUCUACCAAGUGACGGUAACUAACCAGAAAGGGACGGCUAACUACGUGCCAGCAGCCGCGGUAAUACGUAGGUCCCGAGCGUUGUCCGGACUUAUUGGGCGUAAAGCGAGCGCAGGCGGUUCUUUAAGACUGAAGUUAAAGGCAGUGGCUUAACCAUUGUACGCUUUGGAAACUGGAGGACUUGAGUGCAGAAGGGGAGAGUGGAAUUCCAGGUGUAGCGGUGAAAUGCGUAGAUAUAUGGAGGAACACCGGUGGCGAAGGCGUCUCUCUGGUCUGUAACUGACGCUGAGGCUCAAAAGCGUGGGGAGCAAACAGG
rnacentral:rRNA from 1 species